AGCGAACGCUGGCGGCAGGCUUAACACAUGCAAGUCGAACGGGCGUAGCAAUACGUCAGUGGCAGACGGGUGAGUAACGCGUGGGAACGUACCUUUUGGUUCGGAACAACCCAGGGAAACUUGGGCUAAUACCGGAUAAGCCCUUACGGGGAAAGGAUUUAUCGCCGAAAGAUCGGCCCGCGUCUGAUUAGCUAGUUGGUGUGGUAACGGCGCACCAAGGCGACGAUCAGUAGCUGGUCUGAGAGGAUGAUCAGCCACAUUGGGACUGAGACACGGCCCAAACUCCUACGGGAGGCAGCAGUGGGGAAUAUUGGACAAUGGGCGCAAGCCUGAUCCAGCCAUGCCGCGUGAGUGAUGAAGGCCCUAGGGUUGUAAAGCUCUUUUG
rnacentral:rRNA from 1 species